AUGUUGCUUCACCUACAGAUUCCCAUCGCCAAUGUCCUCACAACCUCCUCCUCCUCCUCCUCAAAGUCCUCCUCCUCGUCAUCGCCCUCCUCCUCCUUCAACUCAUCCUCCGGAUCCACUGCAUCCGGAGGUAGCCCCGUGGCGAUCCGGGCUUCGCGCCUAGCCCGGAUCUGCUCAAGGAGCUCGAGCCAGCACUUCGGCAUCAGAAAGGGCUCGCUCCUCACCCGGCGCCGCGAGGGCAUGGCUACUAGGCGGAUGGGUGGAGUGGAAAGUGGCGGCGGCAGCAGGCAGAAGGAGGGAAAUAUGGAUGGAUGGUAG
rnacentral:rRNA from 1 species